AGUUUCCUGAAUCCGUGCUGAGAUUUCGUCAGACAGCAACCCAUUACGGCUGACCAGACUUCCAAGAUAAGUGAAGUU
rfam:Schistosoma haematobium scaffold1036_2, whole genome shotgun sequence.